AACGAACGCUGGCGGCAGGCCUAACACAUGCAAGUCGAACGCUGUAGCAAUACAGAGUGGCAGACGGGUGAGUAACGCGUGGGAACAUGCCCUUCGGUUCGGAAUAACUCAGGGAAACUUGAGCUAAUACCGGAUACGCCCUUAGGGGAAAAGAUUUAUUGCCGAAGGAUUGGCCCGCGUCCGAUUAGCUAGUUGGUGAGGUAAUGGCUCACCAAGGCGACGAUCGGUAGCUGGUCUGAGAGGAUGAUCAGCCACACUGGGACUGAGACACGGCCCAGACUCCUACGGGAGGCAGCAGUGGGGAAUAUUGGACAAUGGGCGCAAGCCUGAUCCAGCCAUGCCGCGUGAGUGAUGAAGGCCCUAGGGUUGUAAAGCUCUUUCGCCAGGGACGAUAAUGACGGUACCUGGAUAAGAAGCCCCGGCUAACUUCGUGCAAGCCGCCGCAGUAA
rnacentral:rRNA from 1 species